rnacentral:rRNA from 1 species
GACGAACGCUGGCGGCGUGCCUAACACAUGCAAGUCGAACGGAGUGAUGAUUUCGGUUAUCACUUAGUGGCGAACGGGUGAGUAACGCGUGAGAAACCUGCCUUUCAGUGGGGGACAACAGUUGGAAACGACUGCUAAUACCGCAUAAGACCACAGCACCGCAUGGUGCAGGGGUAAAAACUCCGGUGGUAUGAGAUGGAUCCGCGUCUGAUUAGCUAGUUGGUAAGGUAACGGCUUACCAAGGCAACGAUCAGUAGCCGACCUGAGAGGGUGACCGGCCACAUUGGGACUGAGACACGGCCCAA